rnacentral:rRNA from 1 species
UACAGAGGUGGCAGGCGUUGUUCGGAAUUACUGGGCGUAAAGGGCGCGUAGGCGGUUCGUUAAGUCCUGUGUGAAAUCCCCCGGCUCAACUGGGGAACUGCACAGGAAACUAGCGGGCUUGAGUUCGGGAGAGGGAAGCGGAAUUCCAGGUGUAGCGGUGAAAUGCGUAGAUAUCCGGAGGAACACCGGUGGCGAAGGCGGCUUCCUGGACCGACACUGACGCUGAGGCGCGAAAGCUAGGGGAGCAAACGGG